rnacentral:miRNA from 1 species
GUGUGGUUGGUUGGUGGUUG